rnacentral:rRNA from 1 species
GACGAACGCUGGCGGCGUGCUUAACACAUGCAAGUCGUGCGGUAAGGCCCUGCUUUGGUGGGGUACACGAGCGGCGAACGGGUGAGUAACACGUGGGUGACCUGCCUUCAGCUUUGGGAUAAGCCUGGGAAACUGGGUCUAAUACCGGAUAUGACCUUGGGGUGCAUGCCUUGGGGUGGAAAGCCUGUGUUGUUUGGCAUGGGUGGCUGGGGAUGGGCCCGCGGUCUAUCAGCUUGNGGUGGGGUGAUGGCCUACCAAGGCGACGACGGGUAGCCGGCCUGAGAGGGCGUUCGGCCACACUGGGACUGAGACACGGCCCAGACUCCUACGGGAGGCAGCAGUGGGGAAUAUUGCGCAAUGGCCGCAAGGCUGACGCAGCGACGCCGCGUGUGGGAUGACGGUCUUCGGAUUGUAAACCACUGUCAGGGGAACGAAUACAGGGCUUCGAUAAGGAGACCCGUGGGUGACGGUACCUCCAAAGGAAGCACCGGCUAACUCCGUGCCAGCAGCCG